UACGGAGGGGGCUAGCGUUGUUCGGAAUUACUGGGCGUAAAGCGCACGUAGGCGGCUUUGCAAGUUAGAGGUGAAAGCCCGGAGCUUAACUCCGGAAUUGCCUUUAAAACUGCAUCGCUAGAAUUGUGGAGAGGUGAGUGGAAUUCCGAGUGUAGAGGUGAAAUUCAUAGAUAUUCGGAAGAACACCAGUGGCGAAGGCGACUCACUGGACACAUAUUGACGCUGAGGUGCGAAAGCGUGGGGAGCAAACAGG
rnacentral:rRNA from 1 species